GAAGAAGUCCCGGGUGAUGCUGAAGGCGUACCAGGAGAUGGCCACGAUCCCACAGACACCUGGGGGAGGGAGAGGAGAACCGCACUAGGCCCUGCGGAGGAAGGGCGGCCCAGAGAGCAGGACGUGGGCAUCAAGUCCAAGAGCAAGUUUCCCUGGAUCCCUUUCGUUUCCCCUCUCCAGCGCAUGACUUCUGUCUCCUAGGUCAGCUGCAGGCCGCUCGAUGCAGCCCCCAGGCCCCGACCGCAGCCCCCCUCUCCUGUGGUCUCCCACUCUGCUCCUCACCCCCUCUUCCCCCUGUUGCUUCCCGACCUGCCCUGGCAUUCCUACCUCUAGCGCCUGGACCACAUCGUUUCCUCGCUGGGAAUCUGCUCAUCCACGUCCUACCCACCCUCAAAAGCCCAAGCAGUCUUCCCCAUCGGCCCUGCCUGCCCUGACUCCCCUUUCCUUGGCCUCCUAGAGCCCUCAGCGCUGUGCCAGGUCUUCACUGCUCGCUCGGUGCAUGAAGGCCUGAAGCCAGCCGGGUCCCCGGACUACAGGUCCAGCCUGGCCACCCCCUGGGAGCUUGUCUUCCAGCAAGCCACCUGGCCUUUCUGAGCCUGUUUCCACAUCUGGAGAAUAGGACAAGACCUGCCCUGCCUCACAGGCUUGUUGUGAGGUGAUGUGUGCAGAAAUGUUUUGCAAAUUGAAAAGGGAUGGCUGUAAGCUCUGGAGGGCAGAAACUCUCACCUUUGGAGUCCCUCCCACACCUCACUCCUGCCUGGCUCCUAGUGCGGGCUCAAGAAACAUUGCUGAUGGACUGAUUUGUAACCAAGGGAUCUGGUCCCAUUUAGUGCCCAGCGCAGUGCCCGACAUCCUGAACUGAGCCUCUUCCUGGAGUGACCGAUAGGGGGCAGCAGUGGCCUAUGGGUCACUGGGUAAAGGGCAGCUUCUUAUCUGGAACGUGGGAUACCUGGGCCUAGGACCAAUCCAGGUCGGUCAGAGCAGUGAGACAAGAGUGCACGGCAGCUGUUGAAGAGGAGAUGGACGGAAUAAACGAAACGGGCCAAAAGUCCACCCCCC